rnacentral:lncRNA from 1 species
AAAAAGAAAUUGUAGGCAUAAGGGGGUUCUCUCUUGUUUGUUCUUAGAGCUAAAUGGAAAUAAGACAGCUAACCAGCCUCUGCUGGCAGAUGAAAGACUCCUACCCCUUGAGUUAGAAUUCUUUGUGUACUUCUGAGCACUGCUCACUUAAUAGCAAUCCAGAGUAACUAAGUAAAAUUAACUGAAUGUCAGAGAACUGUUACUUAUUUUUUUCAUAUUUUAAGGUUGAAUUUUUAGUUUGAAGAGCUAUUUUACCUAGGAGCUGUGUGAAUGUGUGAAAAUUCCUUUGACUUAGAUAUCUUAGAAAAUGUAGAACACAUUAUUUCUUCAUAAAGCUCAAACUUACAU